CCCUCUCUCUCUGCCUGCCUCUCUGCCUACUUGUAAUCUCUCCGUGUCAAAUAAAUAAAUAAAUAAAUAAAUAAAUAAAUAAAUAAAAGUAAGUUGUUCUCGGUUUAGACAUGACUGAUCUUUGCUUCCCAGAAGUUAUAAUGCAGUCCCAUGAAUAAGGACAACAGAGAAGAGGAUCACUGGUCCCAAGAAGAAUGCAAAGUAUAUAGGGAGGUCAAGGCUGAAUCCAACUCAGACUCAGUCCCAGAUAAUGUUAAUCUAGGAUGACAGGAACAUGUGAUAACAUAAAAUAUGCUUACCUUUCCAAAGCCAAAAACUAAUCUGUGAGUAGCUGGGCAUUGAUAAAGUUUUUACAGAACGUUCAAUUCUGCUCCUGCCUUUCUAAGGUUCUUUUCUUCCCUCCCGUGACAGACAAGGGCACAGACGGGACAGUGCUGUGUGCAGUCAGGAAAUUCUGAGUACAGCAUGUGAGCAAGUCACUUCACUUCCCUAAGCCCUACCUUUCUCCUGAGGUACUCAGAAUCAUCAUGUGCACACCCAGUGCCUAGAACAGGAAUGGCACAGAGUAAGAAGUCAGUAAUUACACUUUGAUUGAAUAAAUGAGGUAUGAAUGUACAUACCAUGGAAAUGGGUCCAUAAAAAUGGCAUUUGUACCUGAGUGGCUCAGUCAGUUAAGCCUCUGCCUUCGGCUUAGAUUUUUUUUUUUUUUUUUUUGGAUGAUUGUUCCUCAUUCGGCUACGGUUGGGUGGGACCUGAUGGGAAGGCAUCAGGUAACUAAACUAAACAUCAGGAAACUAAACACUGAAGAAGUCACGCGGAGUCGUGGGAUGACAUCACACAACAACUGGUCAUCUGCUUCUGCUGUUGGAAGAUCAGGAUCAAGGGGCAGAGGUGAUGUCACUGGCUGGAGACACAGAUGUUUUGCUCCCACCAUAGACAAGGACAAGGGUGGCUGGCUUCAUGGGAGGGGUCCCGAUCUCACGGUGUCAUCAUCACCAGCACAGUCAUGCAAAUGUCCCUCAGACUGUCCAAGCACGAAAGGACAGCCAGAGCCUCUGCAACUGCUUUUCAAGGCACGGAGGUAUUCUGUAGCACUAGAAGAAGCUCUCCUUUGCAAGGAGCAAGACAAAGCCAGCGUAACUCCCCAGGGCCACCCCCUGAUGCUGGUUCCAGUCCAAGCCUGGACAAAGUCCCUAGAAACACAGCACAGUGCAAAGUCACCUAGGACAACAGAGCAAGGAAUGACCUCUGAACACUAGCACCGUAGUGGUCAUCCCAGGCGAUGCUGAGCACAGACAUGCACAGAACUGACCCACUAGAUGUGAGUGACCCUGGAGAAAGGCCUCUUUUUUCCAGUUGCUGUUUAGGAAGGAAGGUGGGUCCUUACGUAGCUGGGCUCUCUCCAAACUCAGCCGCUGUGGACAAAGAACACCCAGCCCAUGCACAGGCUCCGAGGGCAGAGACUUCCCAGUGACCAGCACAGAGACUUCUGAGGGCAGACUUCCCAGUGACCAGCACAGAGAGGACACUUGAUUUGUUCGUCAUGGGAUGACCAAGGGGACAAAUGAGAAGGGAACAUUGAAAUCCUCCACCCACUCACCACACUGACCCCAUCGAUCCCACAGAAGGCAGGAGUCUCGAGAAACCCACAAGAGGCUCCCGUUCCCAUGAUCCUACCACUUAGCAUUUUCCAGGCUUGUCAGGUCAUGAAAGAUCAUAAAAGUAUAAAAUAAAGCAAACACAGUGCUUGCCCAGUAUCCAGAUUCCCAAGCCACUCUCCCUGGAGCUUCUGAUUUCAGGAGGUCAGGGGCAGGGCCCCAGGAUCUGGAAGUUUAACAACUCACCCAGGUGAGUCUUAGGAACCUGACAGUUGGAGAAGCGCCACCUGCCAGUUCCCAGAGGCUGCCUGCCGGACUCACCCACUUCCUGUUGCUGUGAGAGGAGCCAGCCAGGUUGGCUUUCGCCCGCCCCAUUUUAAACAACCACCUGCACGCAAGGCACCUGCUCUACAGACUGGGCUCUGCUUCUCGCCCAGGGACCCUCCCACAAUGGGUCCCACAAGAGGGGAUCACCAAAGUCCCCAAGGCUGCCACCAGAGUUCCUCAGAGUAACGCAUUCCCAGCCGAGGCCUGGUCAGCAGGUGGGGGACUCCCUAAACCUUUCCGCCUUUUUGGUGCCCAACCUUCUCACCCUUGCCCUUUGACCCCAUCCCUGUCCUCAGCCGCCCCACCAGAAGCAGCUGCUGGGAAAUGGGUGGGGCUUCGGGGCCCCAAGGAGGAUCCAGAAUCACCUGUGGAUCUGUGACCCCGAGCUGUCUAGAGGAAAGAAAAGCCGACCCACAGCCAACAGUUUCUACUGAAGGAAGUAAAUCCUUCAGUAAACUCUGCCCACCUGGUCACAGCAGGAAGGAAAGUCCCCUGGGGCCUGACUCUGCCACCGUGGGCUACACAGAGACUCAGUAGUUCCCACACAGCCGGCAUCUGGCUCCCGCAGGUGUCACGCCAUGUCCCUUUCCCAGACCCCACCCACACAGCCGAGGACCACAUACUCCUGCAGCGAGACCUCACAAGGGAACAGAAAACAGACAGAGGGCAGGACCACCAGAUCCAAAUCCCUUCCUUCCUUUUUGAAGGCUUGGGUUGGUCAUCACCUGGAUGAGGGGUCAUACCUGAGAACCCUGAGCUACUGGGGCCAAUCUUUCUCACUGGGCCUCAGUUUUCCCCUCUAAAAAGUGGGUUAAUAACCCCUUACAGUCUCUAAGUAGAGGUGUUGUAAAACAUAAUUAGCUGAUUUCUGCUAAUGACAGAGGCCUCCCUACAACUGCCCUCUGAUGCUCAUUUCUCCACCCACAGUCGGUCCACCUGCCUAAAGUGACCAAGGCGCAUUCCUCCCCCUGGUCUGGUCAAACAGCCAGAGUUCAAGUUCAAACAUUAUAAUGAAUGUAAUGGUUGUUUUGGUGCAAAACAACCAGGCAGCCUCAAAGGUAGCCCAUGUCCCCUGCCCUCUUGUCACUCGCCCCUGACCAAAAAUUACCAGUAAGGCCUCGUUCUCCCGUCUGGGCUCCCAUCCUUCCCGUCCUCUCCUCCUUCUGAAGAAGGUAGGGACUGGCCUUGGGGGGAGAAGAGAGCCUUCCUAGGGACCUCUGCACCCGCUCACAGCCCAGAGGCGACUCACCUAGCAAGCCCAUCAAGUCUGCCAUCUACUUACAUUCUAGGCCUCCAUCUACACGUCAAGUUUCCAGUCAUUUCCGAAACAUUUCUUAAAACAUUAAAAUCCGUUGGGGCACCUGGGUGGCUCAGUGGGUUAAAGCC
ensembl:lincRNA